UACGGGGGGAGCAAGCGUUGUUCGGAUUUACUGGGCGUAAAGGGCGCGUAGGCGGCCACCGCAAGUCGACUGUGAAAUCUCCGGGCUUAACCCGGAAAGGUCAGCCGAUACUGCGGGGCUAGAGUGCAGAAGGGGCAACUGGAAUUCUCGGUGUAGCGGUGAAAUGCGUAGAUAUCGAGAGGAACACCUGAGGCGAAGGCGGGCUACUGGGCCGAUACUGACGCUGAUGCGCGAAAGCCAGGGGAGCGAACGGG
rnacentral:rRNA from 1 species